AAUAAUGUGUAGCGCAACGAGGGGAGGUCAGUUGUUCAAUAUAGUUUAGUGGUGUUUUUAAGAAUAAUGGGAACCCCGAGAAAAAAGCAGGAAAAAACCACGUUCAUUAGGAUUUUGUUUUUUGCGUAGUAAUUUAACGACAAAUUUGCUACCAGUGCUAUAAGUGCGUUUGCGCCAAUUUAUAACGAAAGCAACAUAUCCGAAAGGAAAUUUCACCGCGGAGGUACUUUAAAGGAGUCGUUUAUCGAUUUUCU